GUAGGGAAUAUUGGGCAAUGGAUGCAAGUCUGACCCAGCCAUCCCGCGUGCCGGAAGAAGGCCCUCAGGGUUGUAAACGGCUUUUGACGGUGAAGAAUCGACAGGAUGCGUCCUGUUUUGACGGUAGCCGUUGAAUAAGCACCGGCUAACUCCGUGCCAGCAGCCGCGGUAAUACGGAGGGUGCGGGCGUUGUCCGGAUUUAUUGGGUUUAAAGGGUGCGUAGGCUGGAAGGUCAGUCAGCGGUGAAAAGCUGUCGCUUAACGAUAGUCUUGCCGCAGAUACUUCCAUUCUUGGAUGAGGAGGAGGCCACUGGAACGGAUGGUGUAGCGGUGAAAUGCAUAGAUAUCAUCCAGAACACCGAUUGCGAAGGCAGGUGGCUGUACCUUAAUCGACGCUGAUGCACGAAAGCAUGGGGAGCAAACAGGAUUAGAAACCCGUGUAGUCC
rnacentral:rRNA from 1 species